GACAGCUUCGCAUGCAGCCACUGAUAGUUGAAUAGCACGUGCUCGUACAGGUCCUGGAAACGGCGUGACCUCACCAUGUGAUACGGCAUCUCACCAAACUUCAAAUGAAAACAACACAGAUCAUCACAACUAGACAAAACAGCAUCAACUAAUGAGAUACGAGAUUCUCGUGGUGGUGAUCAGAUCAAUAUUGGUCUUCUGGGUUGUAGUAACAUGUGGACUUGUAUGUAGAUACCGUCAUUUGUUAGGAGAAUACUGUCUCCAUCAUUGCCUGAAGGUGAAGGCAGUAUGUCCACACAACAUUAAAGCACAGAAGACCAACAUGGACAUCAUUUAAUUCUCCACAUCAAAGAGAACAAUACUCUCCAAGAUGUUAUAUCGAAAUCGUUAUGUCCAGAGAUUCAUGCAGGUAAUUGGGCAGGUCAUUACGGAUCCGAGUCCAGAGCAGCGGUGGGAUACGUCGCACGGGCGGCAGAUGGUACUGGUAAACGUCAUCCAGCACCUUGUCAUCCAGAGAGAUCAGGUCCUCCAACUCUGACUCUGACAGACCACUCUUAGCAGCAGUGAUGUAGGCAAGUGCGUGGAACACGAGGAUGCGACCAUGCUGCGGGCAGACCGUUCAGGAAUUGAAAAAGCCUGCCAUUUCACCCUGUCCCAGGUCUGUGACUUCCAGAAACAACUCCUCAUUAUCAAUCAUGCGUCGCAACAGAUGAUAGUCCUGACUGACCUCUGGGUUGUCAGCCUCUGCAGCACAUGACACCAGCAGCUGGAGAGGCAAAUUACAGUCAGCAGUGAGUUAAGGUGUGUGAUGCCCAUUGUCUGCAGGAUAUUCACCUUGCAAUAUGGUGGCAAGCGGAGUGGCAGCCAUGACACCUUGUUGGCAUCUUGCGCUCCAGUCAGUUGAUCCACUGAGUCUAGGAACAGGAAGAUUGGUUGCUGCUGGU